UACAGAGGUCCCAAGCGUUGUUCGGAUUCACUGGGCGUAAAGGGUGCGUAGGUGGUGAGGUAAGUCGGAUGUGAAAGCUCGGAGCUCAACUCCGAAAUGGCAUUGGAAACUACUUUGCUCGAGGGUUGGAGGGGGGAGUGGAAUUCUCGGUGUAGCAGUGAAAUGCGUAGAUAUCGAGAGGAACACCAGUGGCGAAGGCGAGUCCCUGGACAGGUCCUGACACUGAGGCACGAAAGCUAGGGGAGCAAACAGG
rnacentral:rRNA from 1 species